rnacentral:rRNA from 3 species
GCGGAGGGAUCAUUACCGAGUUAUACAACUCAUCAACCCUGUGAACAUACCUAAAACGUUGCUUCGGCGGGAACAGACGGCCCCGUAACACGGGCCGCCCCCGCCAGAGGACCCCCUAACUCUGUUUCUAUUAUGUUUCUUCUGAGUAAAACAAGCAAAUAAAUUAAAACUUUCAACAACGGAUCUCUUGGCUCUGGCAUCGAUGAAGAACGCAGCGAAAUGCGAUAAGUAAUGUGAAUUGCAGAAUUCAGUGAAUCAUCGAAUCUUUGAACGCACAUUGCGCCCGCCAGUAUUCUGGCGGGCAUGCCUGUUCGAGCGUCAUUACAACCCUCAGGCCCCCGGGCCUGGCGUUGGGGAUCGGCGAGGCGCCCCCUGCGGGCACACGCCGUCCCCCAAAUACAGUGGCGGUCCCGCCGCAGCUUCCAUUGCGUAGUAGCUAACACCUCGCAACUGGAGAGCGGCGCGGCCACGCCGUAAAACACCCAACUUCUGAAUGUUGACCUCGGAUCAGGUAGGAAUACCCGCUG